CCUACGAGAGGCAGCAGUGAGGAAUAUUGGUCAAUGUACGAGAGUCUGAACCAGCCACGUAGCGUGAAGGAUGACUGCCCUAUGGGGUGUAAACUUCUUUUAUAAAGGAAUCAAACGAGGCACGUGUGCCUUUUUGCAUGUACUUUAUGAAUAAGUAUCGGCUAACUCCGUGCCAGCAGCCGCGGUAAUACGGAGGAUCCGAGCGUUAUCCGGAUUUAUUGGGUUUAAAGGGUGCGUAGGCGGGCUGUUAAGUCAGCGGUCAAAUGUCGGGGCUCAACCCCGGCCUGCCGUUGAAACUGGCUGCCUCGAGUGGGCGAGAAGUAUGCGGAAUGCGUGGUGUAGCGGUGAAAUGCAUAGAUAUCACGCAGAACUCCGAUGGCGAAGGCAGCAGACCGGCGCCCGACUGACGCUGAGGCACGAAAGCGUGGGUAGCGAACAGGAUUAGAGACCCGAGUAGUC
rnacentral:rRNA from 1 species